rnacentral:tRNA from 1 species
GGGCCUGUAGCUCAACUGGUAGAGCGUCUGGCUGGCAGUCAGAAGGCAACGGGUUCGACCCCCGUCAGGUCCACCA